rnacentral:rRNA from 1 species
AGUCGAGGGGCAGCGGGGAGGCAGCAAUGCCUCCGCCGGCGACCGGCGCACGGGUGAGUAACACGUAUGAAACCUGCCCGGAGCAGGGGGAUAAGCGGAAGAAAUUCCGUCUAAUACCGCGUAACGAGGCGGGGAGGCAUCUCCCCGCUUCCAAAGAUUUAUCGGCUCCGGAUGGUCAUGCGGCGCAUUAGCUAGUUGGCGGGGUAACGGCCCACCAAGGCGACGAUGCGUAGGGGUUCUGAGAGGAAGGCCCCCCACACUGGUACUGAGACACGGACCAGACUCCUACGGGAGGCAGCAGUGAGGAAUAUUGGUCAAUGGCCGGGAGGCUGAACCAGCUAAGUCGCGUGAGGGAUGACGGCCCUACGGGUUGUAAACCUCUUUUGCCGGGGAGCAAGUCCCGCCUCGUGCAGGCGGAUUGAGAGUACCCGGAGAAAAAGCAUCGGCUAACUCCGUGCCAGCAGCCGCGGUAAUACGGAGGAUGCGAGCGUUAUCUGGAUUCAUUGGGUUUAAAGGGUGCGCAGGCGGGCGGUCAAGUCAGCGGUAAAAUCGUGGGGCCCAACCCCAUCCCGCCGUUGAAACUGGCCGUCUUGAGUGGGCGAGAAGUAUGCGGAAUGCGUGGUGUAGCGGUGAAAUGCAUAGAUAUCACGCAGAACUCCGAUUGCGAAGGCAGCAUACCGGCGCCCUACUGACGCUCAUGCACGAAAGCGUGGGUAUCGAACAGGAUUAGAUACCCUGGUAGUCCACGCAGUAAACGAUGAAUACUAAUUGUCCGGGACGAAUGAGUCCUGGGUGAUACAGCGAAAGCGUUAAGUAUUCCACCUGGGGAGUACGCCGGCAACGGUGAAACUCAA